UGCGUAGGCGGCUAGGUAAGUCAGAUGUGAAAUUCCGGGGCUCAACCGCGGAACUGCAUUUGAUACUGCUUGGCUAGAGUACUGGAGAGGAGACUGGAAUUUACGGUGUAGCAGUGAAAUGCGUAGAUAUCGUAAGGAAGGCCAGUGGCGAAGGCGAGUCUCUGGACAGUAACUGACGCUGAGGCACGAAGGCCAGGGGAGCAAACG
rnacentral:rRNA from 1 species